rnacentral:rRNA from 1 species
CCUACGGGAGGCAGCAGUGGGGAAUAUUGGACAAUGGGCGCAAGCCUGAUCCAGCCAUGCCGCGUGUGUGAAGAAGGCUUUCGGGUUGUAAAGCACUUUCAGCGAGGAAGAAAGCGUGCCGUUUAAUACCCGGUACGGACGACAUCACUCGCAGAAGAAGCACCGGCUAACUACGUGCCAGCAGCCGCGGUAAUACGUAGGGGCCGAGCGUUGUCCGGAGUUACUGGGCGUAAAGCGUGCGCAGGCGGCCUGUCGCGCCCGGCGUGAAAGCCCCCGGCUCAACCGGGGAGGGUCGUCGGGGACGGGCAGGCUUGAGGACAGCAGGGGCUGGUGGAAUUCCCGGUGUAGUGGUGAAAUGCGUAGAGAUCGGGAGGAACACCUGUGGCGAAGGCGGCCAGCUGGGUUGGACCUGACGCUGAGGCACGAAGGCGUGGGGAGCGAACGGGAUUAGAUACCCUGGUAGUCCACGCUGUAAACGAUGUCUACUAGCCGUCGGGGUCCUUAGUGACUUUGGUGGCGCAGCUAACGCGAUAAGUAGACCGCCUGGGGAGUACGGCCGCAAGGUUAAAACUCAAAUGAAUUGACGGGGGCCCGCACAAGCGGUGGAGCAUGUGGUUUAAUUCGAUGCAACGCGAAGAACCUUAC